rnacentral:rRNA from 1 species
UACGGAGGAUCCGAGCGUUAUCCGGAUUUAUUGGGUUUAAAGGGUGCGUAGGUGGCCUGUUAAGUCAGGGGUGAAAGACGGUAGCUCAACUAUCGCAGUGCCCUUGAUACUGAUGAGCUUGAAUGAACUAGGAGGUAGGCGGAAUGUGACAAGUAGCGGUGAAAUGCAUGGAUAUGUCACAGAACACCGAUUGCGAAGGCAGCUUACUAUGGUUUAAUUGACACUGAGGCACGAAAGCGUGGGGAUCAAACAGG